GUGCUCACUUUGGCAGCUCAUAUACAAAUUGGAACAAUACAGAGAAGAUUAGCAUGGUCCCCGUGCAAGGAUGACACAGAAAUUCAUGAAAUGUUCCAUAUUUUU
ensembl:snRNA U6 U6 spliceosomal RNA